rnacentral:rRNA from 1 species
AACGAACGCUGGCGGCAGGCCUAACACAUGCAAGUCGAACGGCAGCGGACCUUCGGGUGCCGGCGAGUGGCGAACGGGUGAGUAAUAUAUCGGAACGUACCUUUCAGUGGGGGAUAACGUAGCGAAAGUUACGCUAAUACCGCAUAUUCUGUGAGCAGGAAAGCAGGGGAUCGCAAGACCUUGCGCUGAUUGAGCGGCCGAUAUCAGAUUAGCUAGUUGGUGAGGUAAAGGCUCACCAAGGCGACGAUCUGUAGCGGGUCUGAGAGGAUGAUCCGCCACACUGGAACUGAGACGCGGUCCAGACUCCUACGGGAGGCAGCAGUGGGGAAUUUUGGACAAUGGGCGCAAGCCUGAUCCAGCCAUGCCGCGUGAGUGAAGAAGGCCUCGGUU